rnacentral:rRNA from 1 species
UGAACGCUGGCGGCGUGCUUAACACAUGCAAGUCGAACGAUGAAGCCUAGCUUGCUAGGUGGAUUAGUGGCGCACGGGUGAGUAAUAUAUAGAUAAUGUGCCUCUUAGUCUGGGAUAGCCAUUGGAAACGAUGAUUAAUACUAGAUACUCCUUCUCUAUCUAAUUAGAGUCGGGAAAGUUUUUUCGCUAAGAGAUCAGUCUAUAUCGCAUCAGUUAGUUGGUGGGGUAAUGGCCUACCAAGACAAUGACGCGUAGCGGGUUUGAGAGGAUGAUCCGCCACACUGGUACUGAGACACGGACCAGACUCCUACGGGAGGCAGCAGUGAGGAAUAUUGCACAAUGGGGGAAACCCUGAUGCAGCAACGCCGCGUGGAGGAUGACGCAUUUCGGUGUGUAAACUCCUUUUAUAUGUCAAGAAAAUGACGGUAGCAUAUGAAUAAGCACCGGCUAACUCC